UUUCUUAUGACAUAACUGGAAAAUAUCCAAUCCAAAUGACACAAGUUUACGACUUUUAAAUCCUUUGCUCAAAGUAAAGAUAUUUGUUCGCGUGAUCGGAUGGAGAAAUACUGAAAUAAAUCAUUCGAUUUUAGCUUUCUUCUCGAUUUCGCUGAAAUUGAAAAUCUGCAAUAACCCAAAAUUGUAGAAUUUUCGAAGAUUAAAAAAAAAAAAAAAAAAAAAAAAA
rnacentral:lncRNA from 1 species